GGUGAACCUGCGGAAGGAUCAUUAAAAUGUAAAC
rnacentral:rRNA from 1 species